rnacentral:rRNA from 1 species
GAAUAUUGGACAAUGGGCGCAAGCCUGAUCCAGCCAUGCCGCGUGAGUGACGAAGGCCCUAGGGUCGUAAAGCUCUUUCGCCAGGGAAGAUAAUGACGGUACCUGGUAAAGAAGUCCCGGCUAACUCCGUGCCAGCAGCCGCGGUAAUACGGAGGGGACUAGCGUUGUUCGGAAGUACUGGGCGUAAAGCGCGCGUAGGCGGAUUAGUCAGUCAGAGGUGAAAUCCCAGGGCUCAACCCUGGAACUGCCUUUGAUACUGCUAGUCUUGAGUUCGAGAGAGGUGAGUGGAAUUCCGAGUGUAGAGGUGAAAUUCGUAGAUAUUCGGAGGAACACCAGUGGCGAAGGCGGCUCACUGGCUCGAUACUGACGCUGAGGUGCGAAAGCGUGGGGAGCAAACAGG